rnacentral:rRNA from 1 species
GAUGAACGCUAGCGGCAGGCUUAAUACAUGCAAGUCGAGGGGCAUCACAUGUAGCAAUACUGGGUGGCGACCGGCAAACGGGUGCGGAACACGUACAGAACCUUCCUUCAAGUGGGGGAUAGCCCAUGGAAACGUGGAUUCAUACCCCAUAGAAUAUAGAGGUGGCAUACUGUAUAUAUUAAAGAUUUAUUGCUUGAAGAUGGCUGUGCGUAUGAUUACGUAGUUGGGGGGGUAACGGCCCACCAAGCCUUCGAUCAUUAACUGCUGUGAGAGCCCGACCAGUCAAACGGGCACUGAGACACGGGCCCGACUCCUACGGGAGGCAGCAGUAAGGAAUAUUGGUCAAUGGACGCAAGUCUGAACCAGCCAUGCCGCGUGAAGGAUGAAGGUCCUCUGGAUUGUAAACUUCUUUUAUAGGGGGCGAAAAAAGGGUUUUCUAACUCACUUGACAGUACCCUAUGAAUAAGCACCGGCUAACUCCGUGCCAGCAGCCGCCGUAACAC